rnacentral:rRNA from 1 species
UACAGAGGGUGCAAGCGUUGUUCGGAAUUAUUGGGCGUAAAGCGCGUGUAGGCGGCUUUGCAAGUCGGGUGUGAAAGCCCUCGGCUCAACCGAGGAAGUGCGCCCGAAACUGCAGAGCUUGAGUACCGGAGAGGAUGGCGGAAUUCCCCAAGUAGAGGUGAAAUUCGUAGAUAUGGGGAGGAACACCGGUGGCGAAGGCGGUUAGCUGGGCAGUUGCUGACACUGAGGCGCGACAGCGUGGGGAGCAAACAGG